rnacentral:rRNA from 1 species
GGGGAAUAUUGGGCAAUGGACGCAAGUCUGACCCAGCAACGCCGCGUGAAGGAAGAAGGCUUUCGGGGUGUAAACUUCUUUUAAGUGGGAAGAGUAGAAGACGGUACCCCUUGAAUACGCCACGGCUAACUACGUGCCAGCAGCCGCGGUAAUACGUAGGUGGCAAGCGUUGUCCGGAUUUACUGGGUGUAAAGGGCGUGUAGCCGGGAAGGUAAGUCAGAUGUGAAAUCUGGGGGCUCAACCUCCAAACUGCAUUUGAAACUACUUUUCUUGAGUAUCGGAGAGGUAAUCGGAAUUCCUAGUGUAGCGGUGACAUGCGUAGCUAUUAGGAGGAACACCGGUGGCGAAGGCGGCUUGCUGGACAAAUACUGACGCUGAGGUGCGAAAGCGUGGGGAGCAAAUA